rnacentral:tRNA from 1 species
CGGGGUGUAGCGCAGCCUGGUUUAGCGCGCCAGCAUGGGGGGCUGGAGGUCGGGGGUUCAAAUCCCCCCGCCCCGA